rnacentral:sRNA from 1 species
GAGCGCAACGCAACGCCAGUCUCACUGGCACUGAAAGUUCCUGUGGAAAGUUCAGGUAUCAGGGCCGCCCGUUGAGGCGGCCUUUUUUACUUUCA